rnacentral:rRNA from 1 species
AUUGAACGCUGGCGGCAGGCCUAACACAUGCAAGUCGAGCGAGACCUUCGGGUCUAGCGGCGGACGGGUGAGUAACGCGUGGGAACGUGCCCUUUGGUACGGAAUAGCCCCGGGAAACUGGGAGUAAUACCGUAUAAGCUCUUCGGAGGAAAGAUUUAUCGCCAAAGGAUCGGCCCGCGUUGGAUUAGGUAGUUGGUGGGGUAAUGGCCUACCAAGCCGACGAUCCAUAGCUGGUUUGAGAGGAUGAUCAGCCACACUGGGACUGAGACACGGCCCAGACUCCUACGGGAGGCAGCAGUGGGGAAUAUUGGGCAAUGGAGGAAACUCUGACCCAGCGACGCCGCGUGCGGGAUGAAGGCC